rfam:Gossypium raimondii Chr01_contig_266, whole genome shotgun sequence.
CAUGUCAGCGCGACCUGCUGACGUGGAAGGAGAUCGCGUCCUUGAGGGCACGAUUUCCUUCCACGUCAGCAGGUCGCGCUGACGUGG